rnacentral:rRNA from 1 species
UUGAACGCUGGCGGCAGGCCUCACCCAUGCAAGUCGCGCGGAUGAAGGGAGCUUGCUCCUGGAUUCAGCGGCGGACGGGUGAGUAAUGCCUAGGAAUCUGCCUGGUAGUGGGGGAUAACGUCCGGAAACGGGCGCUAAUACCGCAUACGUCCUGAGGGAGAAAGUGGGGGAUCUUCGGACCUCACGCUAUCAGAUGAGCCUAGGUCGGAUUAGCUAGUUGGUGGGGUAAAGGCCUACCAAGGCGACGAUCCGUAACUGGUCUGAGAGGAUGAUCAGUCACACUGGAACUGAGACACGGUCCAGACUCCUACGGGAGGCAGCAGUGGGGAAUAUUGGACAAUGGGCGAAAGCCUGAUCCAGCCAUGCCGCGUGUGUGAAGAAGGUCUUCGGAUUGUAAAGCACUUUAAGUUGGGAGGAAGGGCAGUAAGUUAAUACCUUGCUGUUUUGACGUUACCAACAGAAUAAGCACCGGCUAACUUCGUG